GACGAACGCUGGCGGCGUGCUUAACACAUGCGAGUCGAACGGAAAGGCCCUGCGUUUGUGGGGUGCCCGAGUGGCGAACGGGUGAGUAACACGUGAGUAACCUGCUCUUGACUUUGGGGUAACUUCAGGAAACUGGGGCUAAUAUCGGAUAGGAGCUCCUGCUGCAGGGUGGGGGUGGGAAAGUUUCGGCGGUUGGGGAUGGACUCGCGGCUUAUGAGCUUGUUGGUGGGGUAGUGGCAUACCAAGGCUUUGACGGGUCGCCGGCCUGGGAGGGUGACCGGGCACAUUGGGACUGAGAUACGGACCAGACUGGUACGUGAGGCAGCAGUGGGGAAUAUUGCCCAGUGGGAGGACGCCUGAUGCGGCGGCGCCGGGUGCGGGAUGACGGCCUUCGGGUUGUAAACAGCUUUCGCCUGUGACGAAGCGUGAGUGACGGUAGUGGAUAAAGAAGCACCGGCUAACUACGUG
rnacentral:rRNA from 1 species